AUGAACCAGCGGUCGCUCAACGGCCUCGUCGCCUUCCUGGCCGCCCUCUUCCCCUACCUCACCCAAGCAAAGGCUAUGUGGUAUCUCAACAAAGCCGAGUUGGAUCCCCUCGUUGCCGCCCGCCUCAUCAUCCAGCAUCGCGGGAUGGAGCAGAGUUUCGGGUUUUCAUCCGACACCGCCGUCGCAGCCGUUGAAGCGGCCCUCAGAUGUGCCGCAGCCGCCGCUCAGCACCCGUGCCCGAAGCAGUUCGUGGCAGGGUGGAAGAUACUCUCACAUUCUCUGGAUGAGGUCGCCACCCUGCUAUCAGGCACCUGCGUGACUGUCGAUCCCUUCAUCACAGAUAUUCUGCUCAAUAAACCCCAGCCAUCGAUUUUCAGCCUAGACAAGUCAUGGGAUUUUGCCUCUUGUCGCCUCCUCAAUCUCAGUCCAGAUCUCUUAGGGGGGGGGGGAGGUGAAACAAUUUUCUGA
rnacentral:rRNA from 1 species